UCACAAAAAAUGUCUCUAAUUAAAAAUCUCAAUUUUAGAGACUUGUGACUGUAAAACUCCAUUCGCUUUCAAACAAAAAUCCAAAAUUCGAUUGGCACAUAUGUUAUAGAAUAUUAGGUAUUCCCAAAACAAAUUUACGCUUAGUAAUAGAAUAAACCGCCAAAAUGAUAUAUUUACACAUAAAUAUACUUAUUUCCAUAAAACAAAUAUAUAUAAAAAGCACCUACAAAUAUGUGCCAAUUACAUUUAAAACUUUUUUUCAAAAGAAUAGCUUAAGCACGACAGUCUGGUUUUCUCUGGUAUAAAUUUAGUCAAACGGAUGUUUGAAUCUCUCAAUAUUAGUUUUAUUCGAAUUUAGGAAGUUAAAAAUAGGAGUUGUGGUUCACAUAUUGGGUAUCUGGGGGCUUGAAUAGUUCUGGUCAGAUUAGAACAACUUCUGAUCAAAGGGACUACUCGGGCAAAGUGUCAUCCGGGUACAUUGCUUUGUUCUCGACAUGUACGUUAGUACGGUCAGCAAUCACGCCGUAAAUUUAGCAAUGUAAGCUAAAAUAUAUUUUGUACUACCUUUAGCCGUAGUAAUGUAAGCAAAAAUAUGUUACCUAAUAUUUUAUUUAGCUAUAUAAGCAAAAUUAUAACAUAAUAUAAAAGCUGAAUUCAAUAAAUCUAUCGGGCUCAGUUCAAGUUGUCUUUGCUCUUCAUCAGCGACUGCGACCGGUAACCGGCGCCCAACUGAGUGAUUUUUAUCAAAAAUAUAAAAAAUCUUUGCAAAAAAACCCUAAAAUGGUUUAAAAAAAUAAUAAUAAUCCUCCGGUGUGGCGCGAGAACCAAACCAAAGGAAUUCACCAGAAGCAGCCUGCACAAGAUAAGACGACAAGUGACGCCAUCUGUACUACGAGUAGGAGUCUGAAACAUCCAAAAUAGAUCAACCAGAACGUCCCAUGCUGUUCCUCAUUUAUUUAUAAAAGUACUGUAGAUACGAGCAUCCGCGCUAAAAUUAAAACAACAACGGACGAUCCUAUAUAUUGUAAAUCAUGCCCUUAUCCAGCAAACCUUAGAGAAGUGGUGGAAAAACAAAUGAAAUGUUAAGAGAUGAAAUUAUUAGUCCUUCUCUCUUGUGGAUAGUGCUAAAAAAACAGGCGCAUCUCGGAAAAAAAUGCAUAUCCGAUCCCGGAUAUAAAUAACAUUUUAGCAAGAUUAGGCGAGUGUAAACACUUUAACAUCUGGAUUUCACCAGAUCAAGAUGAAAGAAAAAGAUAUAGAGAAGACAGCAUUUUCAACAGCUAAGGGUAAAUAUGAAUUCACCAGGCUGCCUUUUGGGUCUAAAUAUGCGCCAUCUAUUUUUCAAACGAUGCUUAAUGAUGUUUUGAAACCUUUAAUUGGUAAAAGCUGAUAUGUCUAUAUCGACCACAUCAUUAUUGUAGGAAAUGAAAAAGAAGAACAUUUAAAACAGUUAGACGUUCUAUUUGCAUUGAUGGGCUAUUUUUGGGUUAUGUUGUUACACAGGGUGCAAUCCUGCCCGAUCCUGAAAAAAAUUUCUUCUUUAAAAGGGAUAUUACCGAUUAAAAACUUGAAAUAACUAAAAAGAUUUCUAGGAUUACAGGAAAUUACGCUCAGACAAAAGCAAAUCAACCAAAAAAGUUGAAUAGCCUUUGGAGCUGUUCUUCCACAAGGAGAAAUUGGCAAAGAUAAACCAAUUACUUAUUCUCAAGAUCUUUUAACAAAACAGAAGAGAAUUAUUCCACUAUUGAAAAGUAAAUGCUUGCUAUCAAAUGGGCAGUUGAUAAACUUAGGACUUAUUUUUACGCAUCAAAGGAAAUAAAAAUUGGCUAAAUGAGUCUCAGACCGCCCCCCUCACAAAAUUACACUCACACACCACACACAUUACAUACACCACGUCAUCAUUCCACACCAUGCGCACACAAAUACCACCACAUCACGAAUCUGACAUACAUGAGGACACCAUACAAAAAAGAACAAAAGGGACCGACGGACAGGGCACAUCGCAUACGUUUCUCCGUGCCCCCUUUUAAUUUCGAUUUUCUUUCCGCAUUUUUUAAUACUCGUAUUACAAGGUGAGUGCCACGAAAACGACACACAAAAUGGACAAAAAAAAGUGAGGUGUCAAAUGUGGAAAAUAGCAUCAAAAAUACAUAAAGUUGGAAAAACAAAAAAAAAAGUUAAGUGUGGCUAAAUGAGCCUUAGUCGCCUGCCCCACAUCACACCUACACCCUUCACUAACAUGCACACUCACCUCGACAUCACCACACUCCACAUCAACACCACCCACAUGCGAGAGCCAGGAUCCACACACUCCAACACUACUCAACAUAAAAAGGGUCAGGCUAUACACAAGUUAGUACAGAUUCGAUCGCCUUGGUAUCAACUUCACUUUCCCGCCACAGCUACGCAGCGUUCCAUCGUGAAAUAGUAAAGCUUAUCCUAAAAUUUUUCCGUAUACUAAGUGAGUUUAAAUACAUUGUCAAAGAAAAAGAAACCCCCACUAAUCGAGUGUUCAACUCCUAUUGUUAAAAAUUAUACUAAGUGAAUUGAUAUUAUAAAAGAAAAAGAAACCUCAACUAAUCGAG